rnacentral:sRNA from 1 species
AAAAACAUUGUUGUCUUCUACUGUUUUAAUUUUAUGACACUUAUACCCCUAAAUUAA